rnacentral:rRNA from 1 species
UACGUAGGGUGCGAGCGUUACUCGGAAUUACUGGGCGUAAAGUGUGCGCAGGCGGCAGAGCAAGUCGAGUGUGAAAGCCCCGGGCUUAACUUGGGAAUUGCGCUCGAAACUACUUUGCUGGAGUGUGGCAGAGGAAGGUGGAAUUCCACGUGUAGCGGUGAAAUGCGUAGAGAUGUGGAGGAACACCAAUGGCGAAGGCAGCCUGCUGGGCCAACACUGACGCUCAUGCACGAAAGCGUGGGGAGCAAACAGG